GGCCUCGUAGCUCAGUUGGCUAGAGCGUUGGUUGUUCAAAAGCCUUCCUCUUGGUGGCUUGGGUUCGAAUCGCACCGAGGCCA
rnacentral:tRNA from 1 species